GCAGUAGCCACGGGAAUACGGAGGGAGCUAGCGUUGUUCGGAAUCACUGGGCGUAAAGCGCACGUAGGCGGCUAUUCAAGUCAGGGGUGAAAGCUCGGGGCUCAACCCCGGAACUGCCUUUGAAACUAGAUAGCUUGAAUCUUGGAGAGGCGAGUGGAAUUCCGAGUGUAGAGGUGAAAUUCGUAGAUAUUCGGAAGAACACCAGUGGCGAAGGCGGCUCACUGGACUGGUAUUGACGCUGAGGUGCGAAAGCGUGGGGAGCAAACAGGAUUAGAUACCCCUGUAGUCCCUGUCUCUUAUAC
rnacentral:rRNA from 1 species